AUUGAACGCUGGCGGCAGGCCUAACACAUGCAAGUCGAGCGAGCGGCGGACGGGUGUGUAAUGUAUGGGGACUGCCCGAUAGAGGGGGAUAACUACUGGAAACGGUGGCUAAUACCGCAUACUAUCGGAUAACCCAUAUGGGUUUAGCUAGUAGGUUGGGUAAAGGCUCACCUAGGCGACGAUCUCUAGCUGGUCUGUGAGGAUGAUAAGCCACACUGGUACUGAGACACGGCCCAGACUAAAACGGAGGCAGCAGUGGGGAAUAUUGCACAAGGGGAGCAGGCCUGAUGCAGCCAUGCCGCGUGUAUGAAGAAGGCCUUAGGGUUGUAAAGUAAUUUCAGCGGGGAGGCGUUACCCGAAGAAGAAGCACCGGCUAACUCCGUGCCAGCAGCCGCGGUAAUAC
rnacentral:rRNA from 1 species